GCCACUGUCUUAUAGCUAUACAUGCAGUCGAGCGAACAGAGAAGGAGCUUGCUCCGUUCGACGUUAGCGGCGGACGGGUGAGUAACACGUGGGCAACCUACCUUAUAGUUUGGGAUAACUCCGGGAAACCGGGGCUAAUACCGAAUAAUCUGUUUCACCUCAUGGUGAAACACUGAAAGACGGUUUCGGCUGUCGCUAUAGGAUGGGCCCGCGGCGCAUUAGCUAGUUGGUGAGGUAACGGCUCACCAAGGCGACGAUGCGUAGCCGACCUGAGAGGGUGAUCGGCCACACUGGGACUGAGACACGGCCCAGACUCCUACGGGAGGCAGCAAUACGGAAUCUUCCAAAAAGGGCGGAAGGCUGGUGGGGCAACCGCACGGGAAGGAAAGAAGAUCUCGGGUUGCGAACGCUGUGUUAAAGGAAAGAACAUCUCAAGACACUAGCUGGCUGUACUUGAACGGCCCCUUAUUAGAAAGCGCCACAGCGUAACUACGUUGCCAGCAGGUCGCCGGUAAUACGUAAGGUGGCGACGCGUUGUCCGGAAUUUAUUCGGGCGUAAAGACGCGCCGCACGGUGGGUUUCUUAAGUCGUGAUGUGAAAGGCCCACGGCUCAAGCCGUGGAGGGUACAUUGGAAACGAAGGAGACUUGAUGUGCAGAAGAGGAUAGUGGGAAUUCCCACGUGUAGCGGGUGCAACUGGCGUAGAGAUUUAGGAUGAACACUCAGUGGGCGAACGACGACUAUCUGCUCUGUAGCUGACACUGAUGACGCGCAGGCGUGGAGAGCACACAGCAUUAGAUACCCUGUUAGUCCACGCCGUAAACGAUGAGUGCUAAGUGUUACGGGGUUUCCGCCCCUUAGUGCUGCAGCUACCGCAUUAAGCACUCUGCCAUGGGGAGUACCGUCGCUAGACUGAAGCUCAAUGGACUUGACGGGGCACGGCACAGACGGUGGAGCAUGUGUUUUAGUUCGAAGCAACGCGAUGAGCCUCACGAGGUCUGGACGUCCGGUUGACUACUGUAUAGAUACGGUUUCCCGUUCCGGGGUAACGGUGACAGAUGGUGCAUCUGUGUCGUCAGCUCAUUUCUGGACGUUGUUGGGUCUAGCCAAGUCCGUCUUACGGAAGCGGAUUCUGACCUGAGUUCACGCUCAGGUUGCUUGGGUUCACUAAUUUUGACUGCCGGUGACAAACCGGAGGAAGGUGGGGAUGACGUCAAAUCAUCAUGCCCCUUAUGACCUGGGCUACACACGUGCUACAAUGGACGAUACAAACGGUUGCCAACUCGCGAGAGGGAGCUAAUCCGAUAAAGUCGUUCUCAGUUCGGAUUGUAGGCUGCAACUCGCCUACAUGAAGCCGGAAUCGCUAGUAAUCGCGGAUCAGCAUGCCGCGGUGAAUACGUUCCCGGGCCUUGUACACACCGCCCGUCACACCACGAGAGUUUGUAACACCCGAAGUCGGUGAGGUAACCUUUUGGAGCCAGCCGCCGAAGGUGGGAUAGAUGAUUGGGGCAAGUCGAACAAUGAGACCGCCC
rnacentral:rRNA from 1 species